GGUGUCAACCCAUACGCGUAAUGAAAGUGAACGGAGGUGAGAACCCUUAAGGGCGCAUCAUCGACCGAUCCAGAUGUCUUCGGAUGGAUUUGAGUACGAGCAUAGCUGUUGGGACCCGAAAGAUGGUGAACUAUGCCUGAAUAGGGUGAAGCCAGAGGAAACUCUGGUGGAGCUCGCAGCGGUUCUGACGUGCAAAUCGAUCGUCAAAUUUGGGUAUAGGGGCGCGCUUUCGCCCCUCACAGCCUGUUAUCAGGCCCUAGUCCUUCGGGGCGAGGUCUACGGUCUGCGGGGAUGUUCACCUGGUGUGGACUGCCCGCACCCGCCUUUUAGGGGCCGGGUCACAGAUCAAGCGUAGGUCGGCGGUUCCGUUCUUCGGGAUACGCUUCAGAUAUGAUCGGGCUGCGGCUGGUGAAGCCGCGGAGCACCGGAAAGACUAAUCGAACC
rnacentral:rRNA from 1 species